ensembl:lncRNA
AGUUAGUGAAAAGGAAAGGAACAAAUCAAGACUUGAGCCAUGGACAACCUCUUGAUAUUUUCUAUUCCUCUGAGCCUGGGAAUUUUGCCAAUCCCAUCUCUGGCCCGACUGGAAAGGAAGGAAAAAUAAUUGUUGAGCUGCUCACUGAGUUACCAGGUUCAUCUGCUCCUGCUCUCAGACCCUGGCUUGUGCAGCCAGAGAGCAUGUGGGAGUCUGCACAGGCAGGAGCUGUGCUGCAGCAGUUUGAGGUGAGGGAGACUUGAGUGAGAGCAGCAGAUCAGUGCCAGGAUUGUGCCUUAUAUGGCUGCUCGACGCCUGCAGUGCAUCUCUUGGUAUACAGCUUAUGGUAAAAGCCUUCAGGUUCUGUGUUCUUCCACAGCUGUAUAUCAACUGCUGUUUCUUGAGCUUUGCACACUGAGCUGUGCUGAGCGUGGGCCAAAAAGAAGUUGGUUGCUGGGAGUCACAGCUAUUGAACAGCCAGCCCUCAGACAUGCAAAAUGCUGCCAAAAUCCCUCCUGCGUCAGCGACUGCCUGAGGUGGCCAGUGCUAGCCAGGAGGCCUCCUCCAGUGGCUGGCUGCACGUCCCCAUGCAGGUGGCCAGUCUCUGCCAUUCCGGAGCAAGGAGGGCAGAGUGCUCACAAGAUGUGGUUCCCCAUGGAGAUAACAUGUUGCCAAGGUCAGGCUGCAUCUUAUAUCAGGCCCCUUGCAUCAGAUCACUUUGACUGAGAACAUGCUCCUGUUUGCAGGGAGAAAAUGUAAUCUGUAUCUGGACUGUGGUUAACGCUGAGCGCCAGGCUGUGAAUGCUGCCGGUGUACUGUUUGCUUUAAACACCACCUAUUUUUGUCUUCAGGGCUCCUUUUUUAACCUUUCCAGAAAAUGCUGCUGUUGGCCACUAUCCACUACUCUGCUUCUUUGGGGGCUCACCUAUAGUGAAUCACUCUCAGAGAAUGGCCCUGUGUUUAACUGCUGGACGCUGCUUUUCUGCAAGAAAGGAUUUGUAAGCUGCAAGUAUUUGCAGCUCUCCAAACCCACAAAAAUAAUGUUUGUCAGUGCUCUAGAGAUCAAUGUUUAAACCGGUCUAGUGCAAUCAGAAGGAUGUUUUGAUUUAUUAGUAAUGCAUUUUAAAAGCAAACAAAUUAGUUUAUAGAUACUUAUAUAAUUACACUCACACACACACACACAUAUAUAUACAUAUAUGAGAGACAAUUAGAGAUGUAAAUAUGUUAGGCAACUUUGGUAUAAUUAAGUUAUGUCUUUGAAAAAAUUCGUCAUACAGUUGUGAUUGCAUGAGGUUCUCAUUGAAGAUUACUAUAAGCAGACAUUUUUAUAAAUAAUAUUUGAGGCCUCAAAUAAAACUUCUUUGUUUCCUGCCUCAAGCAUCUGCCAAAAUAUUUUUGAUUCUUGGGAGACUUGAAAAGUGGAAAGUUUUCUCCAGCCCUUUGGUUGUACUGCUACCAGACUGUGCAGUUGGAUUUGUUGCUUCUUGGUUCUCAAUCAUAUCUGAACCAUGUGCUUCCUUCUCAUCCAUUCUUGAGCCCUGCUCGUGCCAUGAACAGUGGGUGUUCGUACAUUUUUGUUACUACUGUAAGUUCUGCUAUAAAUUGUCCCUU